rnacentral:rRNA from 1 species
GAUGAACGCUGGCGGCGUGCUUAACACAUGCAAGUCGAACGAAGCACUCUAUUUGAUUUUCUUCGGAAAUGAAGAUUUUGUGACUGAGUGGCGGACGGGUGAGUAACGCGUGGGUAACCUGCCUCAUACAGGGGGAUAACAGUUGGAAACGACUGCUAAUACCGCAUAAGCGCACAGGAUUGCAUGAUCCGGUGUGAAAAACUCCGGUGGUAUGAGAUGGACCCGCGUCUGAUUAGCCAGUUGGCAGGGUAACGGCCUACCAAAGCGACGAUCAGUAGCCGACCUGAGAGGGUGACCGGCCACAUUGGGACUGAGACACGGCCCAAACUCCUACGGGAGGCAGCAGUGGGGAAUAUUGCACAAUGGGGGAAACCCUGAUGCAGCGACGCCGCGUGAGCGAAGAAGUAUUUCGGUAUGUAAAGCUCUAUCAGCAGGGAAGAAGAA